AUGCACGCUGGCGGCGUGCCUCAUACCUGCCGGUCGAGCGCACAGACGAGGAGCUUGCUCCUCUGACGUUAGCGGCGGACGGGUGAGUAACACGUGGAUAACCUACCUAUAAGACUGGGAUAACUUCGGGAAACCGGAGCUAAUACCGGAUAAUAUAUUGAACCGCAUGGUUCAAUAGUGAAAGACGGUUUUGCUGUCACUUAUAGAUGGAUCCGCGCCGCAUUAGCUAGUUGGUAAGGUAACGGCUUACCAAGGCAACGAUGCGUAGCCGACCUGAGAGGGUGAUCGGCCACACUGGAACUGAGACACGGUCCAGACUCCUACGGGAGGCAGCAGUAGGGAAUCUUCCGCAAUGGGCGAAAGCUUGACGGAGCAACGCCGCGUGAGUGAUGAAGGUCUUCGGAUCGUAAAACUCUGUUAUUAGGGAAGAACAAAUGUGUAAGUAACUAUGCACGUCUUGACGGUACCUAAUCAGAAAGCCACGGCUAACUACGUG
rnacentral:rRNA from 1 species